rnacentral:miRNA from 1 species
UUGUCCCAGCCAGCCUGGCUCACCCGCAGCCGGCUGGCCUCCUCCUCCCUCACCCCAUUAGGAACUUGGCAAAAGCACUGUUUCCCAGUGGCAAGAGCCUCGGGGCCACCU